rnacentral:rRNA from 1 species
AGCCAGACUCCUACGGGAGGCAGCAGUGGGGGAUAUUGCACAGUGGGGGGAACCCUGAUGCAGCGACGCCGCGUGGGUGAAGGAGUAUUUCGGUAUGUAAAGCCCUAUCGGCAGGGAAGAAGCAAGACGGUACCUGACUAAGAAGCCCCGGCUAACUACGUGCCAGCAGCCGCGGUAAUACGUAGGGGGCGAGCGUUAUCCGGAUUCACUGGGUGUAAAGGGAGCGUAGACGGCCAAGCAAGCCAGGGGUGAAAGCCCGGGGCCCAACCCCGGGACUGCCCUUGGAACUGCGUGGCUAGAGUGCAGGAGGGGCAGGCGGAAUUCCUGGUGUAGCGGUGAAAUGCGUAGAUAUCAGGAGGAACACCGGUGGCGAAGGCGGCCUGCUGGACUGCAACUGACGUUGAGGCCCGAAAGCGUGGGGAGCAAACAGGAUUAGAUACCCGGGUAUC